CUGAUCUACUGAAACAAGCUGUGCAGAAAAUGAGAACAUUUAACAAGGACAUGCACGAAGGACCUUAUGUCCUUUUGUAUCCAGACUGCUCAGAGGUGGUCCAUGUGCCCGGGUCAGAAAGGCCAUUCAAAUUGGCAGAAUAUAAAAAGGAAAUAGGAAAGGCAUAUUCCAGGAUCACUUUUUUCAUUUGCCUAGAAAAACACUAUAAAGGAGUGGAUGAUACCUCAGACUCUGAUUCUGAAAUUGUCAUCACAACAAGGAGCAGAGCCGAAUUCAAUCAAGCUGACACUUUGGUUUUUGAACCA